GACCCAGACAGCCCUGACACUGGCAACACUUCUGGAUCCCAGAUACAAGAUGAUGGGAUUCAAUAAUCAAAUACAGGUGCAGGCAUCAGUGAAAAGACUGACAGCACAAUGCACACUUUUAAUGAGGGACACAGUGGACACACCACCUGACACACCGACAGAGGAACAUCCCUCCACAUCGGCCCAAGCAGCAACAGCGAAUGUGGAAAAUCCUCCUUCAACAGUGAUAAACCUGUGGGAAAGCCUCGACAGAGAUGCCUCCCAGGCAAGAAAGGGGAGGAACGCAACAGCAGAUGCAACAGUCGAGGUGCAGCGCUAUUUGACGGAUCCACCCAUAUCAAGAUGUGAAGAUCCACUGAAGUACUGGCGGGAACAUCAAAAUGUGUACACACAUUUAUUCAAGCUGGCAAACAAAUUUUUAUGUACGCCAGCAUCCUCGGUACCAUCGGAGCGAAUUUUCUCAAUGUGGAGAAAUUGUGAGCAAGAAGAGAAACCGGCUCAACCCUAAAACUGUGGAAAAAAUAAUGUUCCUAAAUAAAAAUCUUUGAAUUUUCCAUAAUCA